AGCCAUUCUCCUGCCCCGUGACAGUAGCCAGGGUCUUCCUAAGCACACAGCAGCCUGUUCUACAAACAGUCUUUCUCCUGUGGUACAGAGCCUGCCUGUUCUCAGCCCCUCUCCAGCAUCAGACCACUAGGAAAUGGUGACACAAAACAGACUUCCAUAUGAGGCCCAUGAAGGUAGCAUGGGUCAGCUGGUGACCUUCUGCCCCUUCAGACUGAUAUUAUCCAACUGACAGUUGCACAUUUCUUCAGGAAGGACAGAGUCCCAAUCCUUACUGUUCAUAGCUGAUUCUAGUCAUUUUAUUCUACUGGCUGAAGACAGUAGCAAUAACUUAAAAAGGGAAACAAAGCAGAAAAUUACCUGUUAGCAAAUGUCUUCCUGCUAUUCUUAUUCUCCGCUUGUUUUUGCACACCCCUGACCCCAGAGAUGAUCUCAGGCCUGCUGUACAUAGCUAGUGUGUCAGUCCUUCUGAAAAUCUGCCUAAGGUCUCUGUGCUUGCCUUACAGGGUUACCAUGAAUGAAAAGGACAAUUUAAUGAACGCAGAAAAUCUGGGGAUCGUGUUUGGGCCCACCCUGAUGAGACCCCCUGAAGACAGCACCCUCACCACCCUCCAUGACAUGCGGUACCAAAAGCUGAUCGUGCAGAUUUUAAUAGAAAACGAAGAUGUUCUGUUUUAGUCCAUCAGGGAAGUGAGCUGAUAGAGCUAGUGGAAUAAAAACGUUUCUCACACUUGGUUUGUCUUUUCAAACAAGUGGCAGAA
rnacentral:lncRNA from 1 species